UACGAAGGGGCUAGCGUUGUUCGGAUUUACUGGGCGUAAAGCGCACGUAGGCGGAUUGGUCAGUUAGGGGUGGAAAUCCUGGAGCUCAACUCCAGAACUGCCUUUAAUACUGCCAGUCUCGAGUCCGGAAGAGGUAAGUGGAACUUCUAGUGUAGAGGUGGAAAUUCGUGGAUAUAGGAAGAACACCAGUGGCGAAGGCG
rnacentral:rRNA from 1 species